rnacentral:rRNA from 1 species
GGAAUUUUCCACAAUGGGCGAAAGCCUGAUGGAGCAACGCCGCGUGCAGGAUGAAGGCUUUUGGGUCGUAAACUGCUUUUAUAUGUGAAGAUUUUGACGGUAGCAUAUGAAUAAGGAUCGGCUAACUCCGUGCCAGCAGCCGCGGUCAUACGGAGGAUCCAAGCGUUAUCCGGAAUUACUGGGCGUAAAGAGUUGCGUAGGUGGCAAAGUAAGUGAGUAAUGAAAUCGUACGGCUCAACCGUAUACCCAU